rnacentral:rRNA from 1 species
CCUACGGGUGGCAGCAGUGAGGAAUAUUGGUCAAUGGACGAGAGUCUGAACCAGCCAAGUAGCGUGAAGGAUGACUGCCCUAUGGGUUGUAAACUUCUUUUAUAUGGGAAUAAAAUGUUCCACGUGUGGGAUUUUGUAUGUACCAUAUGAAUACGGAUCGGCUAACUCCGUGCCAGCAGCCGAGGUAAUACGGAGGGUCCGAGCGUUAUCCGGAUUUAUUGGGUUUAUAGGGAGCGUAGGUGGAUUGUUAAGUCAGUUGUGAAAGUUUGCGGCUCAACCGUAAAAUUGCAGAUGAAACUGGCAGUCUUGAGUACAGUAGAGGUAGGCGGAAUUCGUGGUGUAGCGGUGAAAUGCUUAGAUAUCACGAAGAACUCCGAUUGCGAAGGCAGUUCACUGGACUGCAACUGACACUGAGGCUCGAAAGUGUGGGUAUCAAACAGGAUUAGAUACCCCUGUAGUC